UACAUCGGCCGAGAAUCAAACCCGGACCGCCCGCGUGGCAGGCAAGCAUUCUACCACUGUACCACCGAUGG
rnacentral:tRNA from 1 species